GACGAAGGUGGCGAGCGUUGUUCGGAAUCACUGGGCAUAAAGCGCACGUAGGCGGUGACGUAAGUCGGGUGUGAAAUCCCUCGGCCUAACCGAGGAACUGCGCCCGAUACUGCGUUGCUUGAGGACCAGAGGGGUGCAUGGAAUUUCCGGUGGAGCGGUGAAAUGCGUUGAGAUCGUGAGGAACGCCCGUGGCGAAGGCGGCGUUCUGGACUGUUUCUGACACUGAGGAACGAAAGCCAGGGGAGCAAACGGG
rnacentral:rRNA from 1 species